rnacentral:rRNA from 1 species
GAGUUUGAUCAUGGCUCAGAUUGAACGCUGGCGGCAGGCUUAACACAUGCAAGUCGAGCGGAGAGAGGUAGCUUGCUACUGAUCUUAGCGGCGGACGGGUGAGUAAUGCUUAGGAAUCUGCCUAUUAGUGGGGGACAACACUUCGAAAGGAAUGCUAAUACCGCAUACGUCCUACGGGAGAAAGCAGGGGAUCUUCGGACCUUGCGCUAAUAGAUGAGCCUAAGUCGGAUUAGCUAGUUGGUGGGGUAAAGGCCUACCAAGGCGACGAUCUGUAGCGGGUCUGAGAGGAUGAUCCGCCACACUGGGACUGAGACACGGCCCAGACUCCUACGGGAGGCAGCAGUGGGGAAUAUUGGACAAUGGGCGCAAGCCUGAUCCAGCCAUGCCGCGUGUGUGAAGAAGGCCUUAUGGUUGUAAAGCACUUUAAGCGAGGAGGAGGCUACUUUAGUUAAUACCUAGAGAUAGUGGACGUUACUCGCAGAAUAAGCACCGGCUAACUCUGUGCCAGCAGCCGCGGUAAUACAGAGGGUGCAAGCGUUAAUCGGAUUUACUGGGCGUAAAGCGCGCGUAGGCGGCUAAUUAAGUCAAAUGUGAAAUCCCCGAGCUUAACUUGGGAAUUGCAUUCGAUACUGGUUAGCUAGAGUGUGGGAGAGGAUGGUAGAAUUUCCAGGUGUAGCGGUGAAAUGCGUAGAGAUCUGGAGGAAUACCGAUGGCGAAGGCAGCCAUCUGGCCUAACACUGACGCUGAGGUGCGAAAGCAUGGGGAGCAAACAGGAUUAGAUACCCUGGUAGUCCAUGCCGUAAACGAUGUCUACUAGCCGUUGGGGCCUUUGAGGCUUUAGUGGCGCAGCUAACGCGAUAAGUAGACCGCCUGGGGAGUACGGUCGCAAGACUAAAACUCAAAUGAAUUGACGGGGGCCCGCACAAGCGGUGGAGCAUGUGGUCUAAUUCGAUGCAACGCGAAGAACCUUACCUGGCCUUGACAUAGUAAGAACUUUCCAGAGAUGGAUUGGUGCCUUCGGGAACUUACAUACAGGUGCUGCAUGGCUGUCGUCAGCUCGUGUCGUGAGAUGUUGGGUUAAGUCCCGCAACGAGCGCAACCCUUUUCCUUAUUUGCCAGCGAGUAAUGUCGGGAACUUUAAGGAUACUGCCAGUGACAAACUGGAGGAAGGCGGGGACGACGUCAAGUCAUCAUGGCCCUUACGGCCAGGGCUACACACGUGCUACAAUGGUCGGUACAAAGGGUUGCUACCUAGCGAUAGGAUGCUAAUCUCAAAAAGCCGAUCGUAGUCCGGAUUGGAGUCUGCAACUCGACUCCAUGAAGUCGGAAUCGCUAGUAAUCGCGGAUCAGAAUGCCGCGGUGAAUACGUUCCCGGGCCUUGUACACACCGCCCGUCACACCAUGGGAGUUUGUUGCACCAGAAGUAGCUAGCCUAACUGCAAAGAGGGCGGUUACCACGGUGUGGCCGAUGACUGGGGUGAAGUCGUAACAAGGUAGCCGUA